UUGAGUGUUGCUGUUACUUGCUAUCAGCUCACUUUAAAGUGAUCAGCCUGCUCUAUAUUUUUCGGAUUGACUCAGCGUGAUAACAUCUUCGUUGAGGACGCUUAACCGCGGCCGAGAAUUACCCAAGAGUAGCUUCUAAACUGCCAUUGUGCAUUAUAACUUUAGACCUCAAAUCAGGUGGGACUACCCGCUGAACUUAA
rnacentral:misc_RNA from 1 species